GCUUAGUCUCCCGUUGAACUCGCCUGCUACCACUUAGAUAAAAAGAAGAGAGAGAUUCAGUGAUGGUAUCCCAGCAAGGAAUCACUUCAGCCACCUGGAUAGCAAACUCCCAGAGAGUAGCCUUUAUUUGCACAGCAGGAGUCUGUAGUGUAUUGUAACAAUGUCCUCGCUAAUUACCUCAUUAGGGAGGGCAUUCCAAGCCUCAGAUAAGGACUCUAGGCUCCGGAUCCCUGAGGGAUACGUUGUAAUGACCAGAGUCUCUGGGGGUUAAGAAGUCUUACGAGCGGAAUGUACUCUCGGCGUCUCUCGCUGGGAGCUGCCUCUGCUGCUGCCUCGCUUGUUUGAGUCGCCUGUCUGGCGUCUUGGCUGCCUCCACAAGUUGGUUGCUCUUGCCGCUCGAGCCCCGUCCCGAAGCCUCUCUCGAGCUCUUGGGGUUCCCAGCAGAGCUGUAUCUCGGAGCCCUGCAGUCUCUCCCCGCGCUCGCCAGGUUGGCUGGGGUUCCCGCGGAAGAUUUAGACUUGUGGUCGACUUGUCGUCCGGAGUCCCAAGAUCCCGGCUUUCCUCGGGAUCACAGGCAAGGUUUCUCUUCUUCCAGUGGCCUCCCCUCCGUUCUCCAGGGCCUGAAGGCAAAAGGCGUUUGUUCCGUGGCCGGAUUUAUGCCGGCCGUUGCGGGCUAAUCACCCCGCCCCUCCCCUGAUGCGAAACUCCCUUCACCUGGCGGGGUGCAAUCUCAGGUCAUCUUCGCCUGAAACCCAUACAGUAACAGGGCUCCCGCCUGAGCCCCUGCUACAGCUCGUUUUAAGGUGGGUGGAAAACCCCCAAACGAAUGAGUUUUAACUAAUGGAAUGAAGCCCAAGUGCAGGUCCCAGGGCGUAUUCCCAAACCCAAGGAGGGCCAGGUCGGGAGGGGCAACUGAGGUAGCAAGUGGGAUAAAGGCAGAGCUGGGCAGCUGGGAGGAGUGGCAACACCUCUUUGUAGCUCCCUGUGGGAACUGCACCCAGGACAACUCCAAGGAUUCCUGUGAUCCUGUUCCACUGUGCUGCUGGCUCCACCCCAGAAGCAGCUGCAUCUUGGUAGUCCAAGGCAGAGAGUGGAACUUGUAAGGGGUGAGAGACUGGAAUACCUGAGAAGAGACAGAAACACUGAAUGCAUGAUAGUCAAAGUACCCAAGGUGGGGAAAGAGGUGCAAAUUCAUCUAUAAAAGACCAGGCAGAAAUGAUGCCUAUGGGAUCUCUUCUUCCUCACCUCAGAAGAUCUGUGGAUACCCCUAGAAGGACUUCCUGAACCUCUGCCUGCAAGAGACAUUGCCCUCAGAAUUACAUAAGACCUAUCCCAUCACAUUGGAGGAGAAGAGGCCACUGAGCUAAUCUCAUUAAGCAGCUCUGCCUAUCGAGGGAACUCAUCAGAGCCAGCAGCUCUGAGGAUGACCCAGACUCCCUCUCAGCGCAGAGUACAAGAAGUACGGGAUCUGGUGUUUCUGCUGCUGGAACAUCCUGAGAAAAAAUGGAAAGUCAUGCUCAUUGUGCCCUAAGGGCGGGGAAAGUCUCCAUCUGGCAGCCGUUAUGAUGAGAAGCAGGAAAAGAAAAGGUGAUGAUGACAUCCUGACACCCCCCAUCAAGGUCCUCUACUGUUAACUGUGUGGGGGCAGUUCGAUGAAGGGUUUGGCCACCUUGGCAGGCCCAGGGCAUCAUUCCUAGGAGUGGGCAUGGCUACAAAGCAGGCACCAGCUCCAUUCAGCUGCCCUCAUGAACCUCCCCUGACCUUGCAGCACAUGAGCACAGAUCUGGCUUGCACGGGCUGCCUGGAUGGCAGAGGAUGAUAGCAACCCCCCAGUCUUGCAGGGUUGAAAGCACUUCAAAGGUAGCACUGGAGGCAAGACAUCGUGGGACUGUAUUCUGAGAUCAGCUAUGGAGCAACAGCAGAAUGUGUGGCCACAGGGAGGGGAAACUUUCCAGCUCUGUCGCCCCCCAGCCGAGCAGCAAUCUGGCUUCUCUGCCCAGACGAUCCUGGAGCUCUCUGCUAGCCAGCUCUUUUUGGAGCCCCUUGGUCAAGCACAAAAAUCCAAAUAGAGAGAGUGGAACAAGCUGCCAAAGGCACUCAGGAGAAAGAAAGAGCAAGCUUGCUUCACUAAACUGCAACCCUGAUUCAUUGCCAUCUCAUGGGCAACCACACUAUGUGCCAGCCUGAGGCAAAUGCUGUUGGAGUCUGAAAAACCUCUGCAACGAUGGAACAAAGAUGACUUUUACUUCAGAGUUUGCCACAUUUUCAAAGUGAUGUCCAUUGUCCCCACAGCGGAGACCUUCCCCAUGUGAUGUGUGGGUUUCUUCUGGGCUCUGUACAGCAGUUUUUUUUUCCAGCUUGGACUGAAGCAACCUUUUUAGUUGCUUGUUCAGCCACAAAGUGAGGUGGAGAGCAAUCCCAUGGAGCUGCCUUCAUGCCAUGGCCACCCCAGGGACCCAUGACCUUUCUGAGCCUCCAGAGCCUGGGAGAGGGCCCAUUCAUGUCACACAUGGUGCAUGUGUGUGCUUUGCAUGCAUGUGUAUCCUUUGCCUUUGUAUUUCUGCAGCAGGGCACUGGACGGCAACGUCAUGGGGCAAGGCCUGUUGGGAAUGGUGACACGUUUUCUUUUUGGGUGCAUGUUUCACAUCUUAUUGGGUGCACAAGUUUUGCAUGGGGGAAAGGA